AUAGCCCUGCAAAUCCGAAGCCCUAAGUUCCUACUUAGGAGGUUGAGGUAGGAAAUGCGGGGCUAA
rnacentral:ncRNA from 1 species